UUUUGAUUUAUAUUCAAUUUAGUUUGUAUUAUUUUUACUUAUGAACAAUAGCUUUUGUACGCACAUCCAAAUUGGGUGUCCAAUAAGAAUCUUGCAUUGUAAAUUGUCAUACAUCAUAUAACGGCAAGGGUAUCUCGAAUUCGACACAACGAAGCAAACCGUUUCUUCUUGUUAGGCAACAAGAAAACAAGUCCGGAUGAGCCUGUGACUCGCUACGCCUACAAAAUGGUUAAGAUCGAUUGGUGAGGAGUUACGAAGGCUUAAAAGUGUGUGGAGGAUUAUGGGGGCGGGGUACCAGCGGAACGAAACCAGAAAAUUUCUCCUAAGGAAAUUCGCGGAUGUCCUCUGACAAAAACUUUACAAUACAUUUUUAAGUUAAACUAAGCGGAUAAA